GAACUUAAAAUAAUAAUAAAAAAAAAAUCGAUAGAGAAGCCACGAAGCUCAAACAGUAAUUGUCAUUUGGGUUGAAGAGAGCUUUCAACAGAAAAUUUCACUGCCUGACAUAGAGCUGUACAGUUCAUAUAAAUUAGCAUUUUCGCAAUUAUAUAUGUUUAAUGGAUUACUACUUAGAAAGUUAGAAAUUGUCUCUGGUGGUUACUGCCCUGUGUUUUAAAGGCUUUAUUGUCUCUGACCCCUGGGCACAUGUGGGAAGAUCUAUGCUUGAAUGUCAGUUUUAUUAUAAAAUGUCAAAUCAUGUUUGAAGCUUUGAGCUCGCAAUAAAGUCUUAUUAUAAUUUGCAUAUAAACCCUCUCUCACACACACUUCAAUGUCCCUUUGUGUCAAAGUGCAAUUAAAACAGAUGGAAAAAUACAGCCAGAACCGCUUCACCCACACACGCAAUUACAGGCAAUUAACGUGUGAUUGUCAACGUUGGUGGCUUGUGGACCAAUAGUUCUUUGUGCUCGUCACGGUGACAGUUCAAUGUUCCCAUCUGUGCAUGAAUAAUAAAAGUAUUUGCACAUUCACAAACUCUCUUCGGCGUUAACCGUCCAUGAAUUAAAGCGGAGCCUUGGGGAAUGUCGCAUUACGCAACGUACGUGCAGGUGAAUUGGCGCGCAUUCCUCAGUACAUAAAUGGCCAUAUUUCCUCAGACGUUACGCGUUCAGCCAAUCACAGACGAAAGAUGCUUCAGGAUUCCCGCUGGUACCGGAAAAUUGGACAAAUUUGGUGUAGAUGUCCCUGUCAGAAACGUCAGAGAAUCUCUGAGCCAGAUUUCGUCCAUUUUGGAAAAAUAGAGAGAGGGAGCGCAGGAAAACCGAGAUGAGUAGUGUGAAUGACACCUCGAAAUCUGUCAUUAUAGACCGGCCGGACAUUUCCGUUGUGUCUCGACUCGAGAGAUGAAUAUGAAAUCAGGUGAAGAUCAUUCAUCUGAUCACUUGGAAAAGUAAUAGCACACCUCUCUUCAAUAAGACACAAAAAUUAAGGAUAAGCUAUGUGUUGCGGGGGAGUGAUAUUCACAGCGAUACUUCAAGUUUGACCAGAUGAUGUUCUCUUGAGAGAAGCAGAACACUCCCAGUCUUCCUCCUCUCAUUGUGGUAUCAAUUGUCACCCCAGAAUCUGCCACUAGCUCUGUACCCUCAUAGAAACGAACCCUAAGAACACACAAAAAAACACACUAAAUCAUCUUGACUUUUAACAC